rfam:Balearica pavonina gibbericeps contig10937, whole genome shotgun sequence.
GCUCCAGUGGCGCAAUCGGUUAGCGCGCGGUACUUAUACAGCAGUACAAAGCCGAGCAAUGCCGAGGUUGUGAGUUCGAGCCUCACCUGGAGCA